rnacentral:rRNA from 1 species
UACGUAGGGUGCAAGCGUUGUCCGGAAUUAUUGGGCGUAAAGAGCUCGUAGGCGGUCUGUCGCGUCUGCUGUGAAAACUCGGGGCUUAACCCCGGGCCUGCAGUGGGUACGGGCAGACUAGAGUGCGGUAGGGGAGACUGGAAUUCCUGGUGUAGCGGUGAAAUGCGCAGAUAUCAGGAGGAACACCGGUGGCGAAGGCGGGUCUCUGGCCGUA